rnacentral:rRNA from 1 species
UUGGAGGGCAAGUCUGGUGCCAGCAGCCGCGGUAAUUCCAGCUCCAAUAGCGUAUAUUAAAGUUGUUGCAGUUAAAAAGCUCGUAGUUGAAUUUCGGGGUUAGUGGGUUGGUCAUGCCUCUGGUAUGUACUGGUCUCACUGAUUCCUCCUUCCUUAUGAACCGUAAUGCCAUUAAUUUGGUGUUGCGGGGAAUUUGGACUGUUACUUUGAAAAAAUUAGAGUGUUUAAAGCAAGCUAACGCUUGAAUACAUUAGCAUGGAAUAAUGAAAUAGGACG